rnacentral:rRNA from 1 species
GAUUCCGGAGAGGCAGCCUGAGAGACGGCUACCACGUCCAAGGACGGCAGCAGGCACGCAAAUUACCCAAUCCCAGCAACUGGGGGAGGUAGUGACGAAAUAUAACGAUGCGGGCGCCCUUUUUGGGGCCCCGCAAUCGGAAUGAGCACUUUCUAAACAACCUGUUGAGAACCUACUGAAGGGCAAGUCUGGUGCCAGCAGCCGCGGUAAUUCCAGCUUCAGCAGCAUCUAUUAAAGUUGCUGCGGUUAAAAGGCUCGCAGUUGAAUGUCAGUAUCGAGCGCAGGUCAGGUGGACGCUGGGGCGUGGGAACACAAGGCGUGGCACGGGCCGUCUCCUCCUCUCUCUCGCUUCGUGCUUGGGUUUGGGUUGGUGGUACCGACCGCGUCUCUCACAUACCCCCGUCCGUUACAAGCCUCCUCGCUCGCGUACAUAUCGGAACUGGUCAAACGGAGUGUGCGCAGUCGCUCUUCCCUCGCCUCCGGGUGGGUGCGUUGGGAGGCUCGCACGUUAAGCUCCUUCGGUUUCACUGUCACCUUGAGUAAAUCAGAGUGCUCAAAGCAGUCGUAGGGGCCUUGCGCCCUGUGAACAGUCUUGACGGACUGACUUGGUUUUGCAUGGCAUGUCGGAAGACGACGUCGUGUGCUGGCUCAGAGACUAAAUCAGUGGUGCAAGCCAGCCGCGACGUACUGAUUAACAGGGACGGUCGAGGGCAUUGGUAUUGCGAGGCGAGAGGUGAAAUUCUAUGACCCCCGCAAGACCUCCUGAAGCGAAAGCGUCUGCCAAGGACGUUUUCAUUAAUCAUGAACGAAAGUUAGAGGAUCGAAGGCGAUCAGAUACCGCCCUAGUUCUAACCCUAAACGAUGCCAACCAUCAAUCCGCGCGUAGCUCCCAUCUUAACGGGCUCGGCGGGCAGCUCCCCACUCACGGGAAACCAGAGUCUCUGGGUUCCGGGGGGAGUCUGGUUGCAAAGCUGAAACUUAAAGGAAUUGACGGAAAGGCACCACCAGGCGUGGAGCCUGCGGCUUAAUUUGACUCAACACGGGCCAUCUCACCAGGCCAGCACUCUUGUACGAUUGACAGAUUGAGAGCUCUUUCUCGAUUCAGUGGAUGGUGGUGCAUGGCCGUUCUUAGUUGGUGGAGUGAUCUGUCUGGUUAAUUCCGAUAACGAACGAGACUCUCCCCUGCUAACUAGUCGGCUGGAUCUUAUCGGUGAGUUGUGUGCCGGGAUCACCCGGGUGCGGGCGCGUGAGGGGUCUGGGUCGCUGAGGUUUUCCAAGGCGCGCUCUCUCUCCAAAUCGUUUACCGCAUUUCGGGCCUCGGGCCACACACUCCAAGUCCGCCGCUUAUUGUAUAACUCUUCUUAGAGGGAUUCACGGUUCUGAAGCCGUAAGAGACUGAGAGCAAUAACAGGUCUGUGAUGCCCUUAGAUGCUCUGGGCCGCACGCGCGCUACAAUGCCGGGCACAGCAGGUGUUUCUCCUGCUCCGACAGGAGCAGGUAACCCUCUGAAAGCCACUUUCUUUGUCGUGUCUAACACGAAAGGCGUGCUUGGGCCUGGGGCUUGCAAUUCUUUCCCACAAACGAGGAAUGCCUAGUAGCGGCGGGUCACUGAGCCCGCUGUGACUCAGUCCCUGCCCUUUGUACACACCGCCCGUCGCUACUACCGAUUGGGUGUACCAGUGAGAGCCUUGGACUGGCGUCCGUUGCCUUCGGGCAAUCGGGUCCGACGGAAAGAGGUCCGAACUGGUGCACUUAGAGGAAGUAAAAGUCGUACAAGG